AAUUGAAGACUGUUGAUUUUGGUCUGUCUUCAUGUGAUCUCCUAAUCCCACCCUAGCUCUCUACUUGUUUAUUAGGCCUUCUCAUUUCCCCAGCUCUGUAAUGCUUUGAGUAGUCUUUCUUGAGUUACUUUUGUACUCUGGGCUUCCAUCAGGCCUUACAGUUAUCAUUUCUGUUUUGGGUUCCAGUUUUCUUGAUUUUCCAGGAUGUACUGUUGAAAGAAAUGAAAAGAUAUGGGACCUGCUUGCACCUGGAGUUUAUUGUGUGAACAGAAAGAUUUUCACAGGAGAGAGCACAAAAGAGUAAAGAGUGAAGAUUGCUGAAGUCCUUCCGCUUGUGGCUGAUUCCUGAACUCCAAGAAAUGUUUAGUUAUGCUACUUCAAGUUCUCUGGCUUCAUUUUCAUGGAAGAAGCUUACAGAAGUUUGUUCAUUCUUGACGGAUUUCCUGAGCUUCAGUACUCUGUCAGUGACCAGGAAGAGGAUCUUAGUACCAAUCCCCUGGAAAGGAAGCCAGUAGAGACUCUCUUACACAGUAUCAUGAAGACAAAACUGUUCCCUGAAUCCUCCCUCCUGAUAACUGCCCAGCCUACGACCAUGAAGAAGCUUCACUCUCUGUUAAAGCAACCUAUCCAGAGAUCCUGUGGUUUACAGAUGUUGAAAAAAGAGCAUAUUUCUUGAGUCAGUUUUCAGGUGCUAAUGCAGCUACGAGAGUCCUUUAUGAUCUGCGAGAAAAUGAAGGCCUUGACAUUAUGUCUUCUCGUCCCAUCACCUCCUGGAUGAGUCACAGGAAGAUGGAGGCAGGACUCUUACGAGGUCAUGUCAGACCAUGACUGAUACGUAUCUUGUUUGACUUUUCCAAGUGUCUCAACACCCUUACAGGUAUCUCGGUGUGGAAGGGACAAAUUUGCCGGUGGGGCCUUUGCUCUUUGGCUGCAGAAGGACUACAGAACCAGCAGGUCCUAUUUGAAGUCAGUGACCUCAGAAGACAUAGGCUAGGAGUAUAUGAUACCAAUUGCACUUUUCUCAAUCACUUUUUGAAAAAAGUUGAAGGAGUUGUCAGUGUCUACACUUUCCUUCACUUCAGUUUCCAAGAAUUCCUGACUGCUGUGUUCUACACCCUGAAGAAUGGCAGCAGCUGGAUGUUUUUUGAUUGGGGAAAACAUGGCAAGAAAUCUUCCAACAGUACGAAAAAGGGUUUUCAUCAUUAACAAUACAAUUCUUAUUUGGCGUCUUACAUAAAGGGAAGGAAAAGGCUGUGCAAACAACUUUUGGGAAAAAAGUGUCUCCAGGACUUCGAGAAGAGUUACUGAAGUGGACUGAGAAAGAAAUAAAAGAUAAACCUUAUAGGUUACAGAUUGAGCCGAUAGACUUGUUUCACUGUAUGAGACUCAAGAAUAUGCAAAAAGGAUAAUUAAUGAUUUAAGGUCAAUUAUAUUGCUUCAACUUAUGUAUACAAAAAUGGACAUUCUGGCUGUGUCAUUCAGUGUGAAAAGCAGUCAUAGUCACCUGUCAGUGUCUCUGAAGUGUCAGCACCUACUUGGAUUUGAAGAGGAAGGUUGAGCCUCAGCGUUCAUGCCACCAAUGUUGACAAUCAGACCUUCCAGCUGCACAAUUUGCCAAUCUGUCCACUACACUUGCUUUGCCAACCACUGCAUAAUCCAUACUGUAAAAUCAAAGACCUGAACCCCACCGGCAGGGGCCCGGCUUGGCCCCUCUGUGACUGGUGCCGCCUGGGAAGACCGCAGCUCCUGGAAGGAAGUGAGCAGAGUUGCGACCUG